rnacentral:rRNA from 1 species
AUUGAACGCUGGCGGAAUGCUUUACACAUGCAAGUCGAACGGCAGCACGGACUUCGGUCUGGUGGCGAGUGGCGAACGGGUGAGUAAUAUAUCGGAACGUAUCCAAUAAUGGGGGAUAACUAAUCGAAAGGUUGGCUAAUACCGCAUACGUCCUACGGGAGAAAGCUAGGGACCUUCGGGCCUGGCGUUAAUGGAGCGGCCGAUACCGGAUUAGCUAGUUGGUGAGGUAAAGGCUCACCAAGGCGACGAUCCGUAGCUGGUCUGAGAGGACGACCAGCCACACUGGAACUGAGACACGGUCCAGACUCCUACGGGAGGCAGCAGUGGGGAAUUUUGGACAAUGGGCGCAAGCCUGAUCCAGCCAUUCCGCGUGAGUGAAGAAGGCCUUCGGGUUGUAAAGCUCUUUCGCAAGGGAAGAAAACUUAUCCUCUAACAUAGGAUGAGGUUGACGGUACCUUGAUAAGAAGCACCGGCUAACUACGUGCCAGCCGCCGCCGUAAGAC